rnacentral:lncRNA from 1 species
CCAGAGCCAGCAUUGGCAACCCGCUGGGGUCCCCUUCCACACUGCGGAAGCUUUGUUCUUUCGCUCUUUGCAGUAAAUCUUGCUACUUCUCACUCUUUGGGUUCACGCUGCUUUUAUGAGCUGUAACACUCACUGCGAAGAUCUGCAGCUUCACUCCUGAGCGAGCGAGACCACGAACCCACCAGAAGGAAGAAACUCCGAACACAUCUGAACAUCAGAAGGGACAGACUCCAGACGCGCCACCUUAAGAGCUGUAACACUCACCGCGAGGGUCCGCGGCUUCAUUCUUGAAGUCAGUGAGAGCAAGAACCCACCAAUUCCGGACACACUAGCAUGUUAUUGUACUGAAUACUGAAGGAAACUGCAACACAAUGGUCUUCAGAAUACCAGUUAUGCUGGGAAGCACAGCAGACUGUUCUCAUCAAAGAAGAACUUAUCAUAAAUUAUUUUACCGGUAGCUGAAAAGCAAGCCGAGGGAGACUCUGAGAGCUGUAGCAGCAUGCUAGAUGAUGGAAUAGCAGUGCCCUGGGCAGCAGAAGAAAGUCCUGAGACAGAACACCCAGGACAGCAUACUUACCAUGGCUUCCCUGUCUCACAAGAUUCAUCCACAUCGAACUGCCCAAGAACAAAUGUACCACGGGCUAAUCUGGAGGGGUGAGUGUUUAUGUUUCACAGAAGGAAUGAAUACUUCCUCUGUGCACGAAUACACUUCCUCUGUGCACGGUGAAGUGGACCUUCAAAUAAGGAUUUUAAACAUCUCUUUUUGCAGGAAAUCCUUAGUAGCAAUUAGAAUUUUUAACCUUUGAGAGACUGCACAGGGCAGAAAAUUACUGCUCUUGUCUAGAUCAUUGAAGCAUCAGUGAACUUCUGCUGAUGUCAGGAAUGUGAGCUGAUGGGUAGAAAUGGCGAAGAACUCUCAUAAUCAUAGGAGGAGAGAGCUUAAGUUUGUGCUUCAGUAAGCAAGCACAUUAGAUAGACUUAUCUUUUUGGGUCAGGUACCUUUCAAUGACACGCUCUACCCUCAAAAUAAAUAAAUAAGUAAAUGAAUGAAUGAAUAAAUAAAUAAAUAAAGUGCUUCCCUUGUAAAGAAAAAUAGUCCACAACCUCUAACAGAAAAAUGAGGGCAAUUCACUUGACCAACAAGAUUCACCACUCACUGAGGACUAACAGCCUGUCCUCAACCACCUGUGUGUAUCUCUCAUUGACUUCCUUGGGUGAGAUGGGAGUGCUGACCUUUAUUAUUACUGCUGCGAUAUUUAUUCUUGAAUAACAGAUUUUCUUGUAUGAGUCACACACAGGUUCUUCUUUUCUUCCCCACAGUAACACCAGAAUUAUUCAUUUGCAUCUCUGUUGCCAUGGGAAAAUGAACAUUGUGAAAAGCAGUCAGGAUUAUGAGUUUAAGGCAAAAUCUAGUAGUAAGGAACAAAGAAAACUCAGGCUGAAAAUAUACACACAGCACAACUAAUAUUACAGAAAAAUGACAACUUAAAAAUAACAAGAAAAAGAAAAUUAAAUUCCAAUGAAUCUUUGACCUUUUGAGUAAAAUACUCUGAGUUUCAAAACUAUUUUUCAGGGUUUUAUUUUUUUUUUCUAGUAGAAAAACACCCUGACGCUCAGGAAUAAAGUAGACAUGCUAUUUUCACCCCCUGGUACAUGGCUGGCAGACAGAAAGGCCAUUGUGUGCCAAAUAGCAGAUAAUUGGAUCCUAUCUACACUGGGAACCUGCUAGGUCAUUAGCAGACUUUUCAUUUGGAAAUAGACAUGGCUAUUUAAGAGGAGCAGGGAACAAGAAUAAAAUACCAACUCUUCUGUGUUUAGCUUAGUUGGGCAAGAGGGUUUGUGUUUGGAUCCAGGUCAUUUUAUUCCCAAUUCCUCAAGUACCAUAGUACUGUGCACAGAAAACACAUUUCAACGGAGAGGGAUAAGAUGAAAGGUAGAGAGACAUAAAGACUUAGAGAGACGGGGACAUGUUGAGAUAUAAAGAAGUGAAUUGAGAGCAUAAAAGGAGAAAAAAGGAAAGAAGGAGGAAGAAAUGGGAAGAGAGGAAAGCAUAAGAAAAAGAAAUAAGGAUUAAAGAAUAAGAAGUACACAGAGAAAUGCAUGAAAGAAAAUUUGAAUGAUAAAGAGAACACAAGGAAAAAAAUCUGCCUUCAAUAAGAAACUUCACCUAAAAAGGUCAGGGCAAAUUAGGGAAAGGAGAACCAUGGUGAGAGGGAAAUAAGUGCUGUGGAACACUAUUAUGGAUACUUAGAUUCAUUAUAUUGUCCAUAUAAAUGAGGUUUCCUUAUCUAGACACAAGCUUUAUUUGGGAGCAGAUGGCAAUGCUGCUGGGUGACAUUUAUAUGUAAGAAAUUUGUUUCAAUAUUGCCCUCUCCUUUUAUAUUUAAGCUCAAUGAACUUGAGGAUUUUCUGACAUCUUGAUCCUUGCUUCUCAUUGGACUUCAUUCAUUUGAGUUUGCAAUUUCUAGAUCACUAGGCUGUAAUUUGUAACCUGCCUAUUGCUGAGAGGGGGUGAUGCUGUACAGGAAAGAGAAGGCAGAGCUGGAAGGUGGGAGACCCAGAAUCAGUCCCAGCAGUACCUCUAAGUAAAUAGGACAUUAGGAGAGGCCAAGAGCAAACAGGGCCCAAUUUCUUUUUUCUUUCUUUCCCUUUCCUUCCUUCCUUCCUUCUUUCCUUCCUUCCUUCCUUCCUUCCUUCCUUCAUUCCUCCCACCUUCCCUCCUCCCGCCUCCCUCCCUUCCUCCCUCCCUCCCCCUUUCCGUUCCUUUCCUUUCCUUUCCUUCCUGUUCCUGUUCCUGUUCUUUUCGAAAGAGGGUUUUACUCUGUAGCUCAGGCUGGAGUGCAGUGGUGCAAUCACAGUUCACUGCAGCCUCAGCCUCCCCUCCUGGGUUCAUGCUCUCCUCCCACCUCAGCCUCCCAAGUAGCUGGGCCUACAGGUGUGUGCCACCACACCCAGCUACUGUUUUGUAAUUUUUGUAGAAAGGAGGUUUCAUUAUGUUGUCUAGGCUGGUCUCAAACUCCUGGGCCCAAGCAAUUCACCUACCUCGGCAUUCUAAAGUGCUGGGAUUACGGGCGUGAACAACCAUGCCCUGACAGGGCUCAAUUUCUACCCCCAGGCUAUACACACUUGUAUAGUCUGUGGACACUACUGCUCUAGGAUCAGAGAAAAAGAUUAGCAGUGAUUUUUGCUCCAUGUAAUUAGAAUAGUUGUGUCUGAUGGUUAAGGAAAAUAUAUAGUGGAGGAGGAAUAACUGGUCUGUUUAGGGUCAAGUAAGAUAAAGUUGCCCCAUUCAAUAGCUGACAGGGAGGUUGAAAUGAAAUUUUGAUCUUAGGUAAAAGUGCAUAUAAAAGAAAAGAUUGUUAAUAUUAUUGCUUUGUGAUGUUUAUUAGUUGAAAUUAAUAUUUCUGCAACAUAUAGCACUUUCUAUGAAAUCUAUCCUAUUGAAGCAUUUACCACUUUCUACUCUGGAUACUAGUUAUUGAUGGCCAUGCUUCACCUCGUCUGCUAUACUGUAGGGCCCUCCAGUGAACAAUCUGUGUCUGAUGAAUCUUUUACCUCUCAAAGCAUUUAAAAAGAGCUUCAUGCACAGUAAGAACUUAGUUUACAUUUGGUGUAUAAAUGACAGGAACAAUGAAGGAAGUCUUUCUAAGUCAGAAUGUGAAGACUCAAGCUUUGGGUUUUAAUAUUGAGGUUAUAGAGUUGAGAACACAGUGUUCAAGCCUUAGAAGUUGAAUAGCUAAUAUUCUGAGCCAUUAUUUAUAAUUAUUAAUUAUUCAUUGCCUAUUAUGUGCUAGGAACUUUACAGCAGUUACCUUUUCUUCUUGCAUUAGCACUGCAAGGUAGCAGUCACUACCUGCAUUUUACAGAUGAGGAAACAGGAGAUUAAGUAAUUUUUCCAAAGUGAUAAAAUGAGUAAACGGCAGAGGCAAAGGAGCUGAAGUCAAACUCAGGGUUCCUGGUCCAUUAUUAUUAGACCCCAGCAUCCCACUGCUGAUCACACGAGGAGCUAUGAAACUUUCCUGUUAAAUCUACUCUCCAGAGAGAGCUCUCCAGGCCUAGAUGUCCAGAAAUGGCCAUUGGCAGGAAAAAAAUGACAGACAAACUUGGCUAUAACUGUGGGCUUUGGGUAAAUUACUAAGCUCCUAUGGUAUUUAUUUCCUCCUCUGCACAUAAUGCUGCUCUGUAAGUAACAAUACUUCUUUCACAUCCAUUGGGUGUCUUUUUAUAUAAGGUUGAGAUGAGAUGUUUGAAAAUCUUGUAGAACUGUGCUUCCCACAUGAUAGGCAUCUAAUAAAUGCCAUUCUAACCUGAAUUUCUGCAGAAGUAAAAUGGAAUUUAUGGCACCAAAAUGAUAAUGAGGAGAAAGUUUCUUUCCCUGAGCCUUUCGGAGCAUGUAUUUGACUGUUCCUCCACCUCUGUCCUUACCUCAGGCAAACCUUAUCUAAUCAUCGUAUUCAUUUACUGAUGCAGAUAGCUGCCCAUUGAGAGGAUCCUCUUGAAAAGGACCCUCAUAGAUUGUGAGCUCUAGGUGAACUCUUCCACACUGUUCAGACUUACUCCCCUCUGUAAGGCAGUCCACAUCCCCAAGAAUUAGAAAAUAGUGCUUUUUAGAAAAGAUCACCUUGGCCACAUAUCCACUCUCACUCUUACUACUAUUACCAUUAUUACUGAUAGUAGCCAACAUUGAUCAAACACUUAAAAUGAAUCGAACAUUGUCUCAAAUCCUUUAUGUUUUAUUAAAUCAUCAUAACAAACUUACGGGGUAUGUGUUAUUCUUAUCAUUUUACAAAUACGGAACCUGAGGUUUACAUCCUUUGUCAAAGCAUUGCAUACUCUCAGCGUAGCAAGGUUAGAUUGACUCCCAGAAAAGCUGCUCCAUAAAAUGAAUAUAAGAAUAUGCAGGACGGGCGCGGUGGCUCACGCCUAUAAUUCCAGCACUUUGGGAGGCCGAGGUGGGCGGAUCACCUGAAGUCGGGAGUUCGAGACCAGCCUGGUCAACAUAGGGAAACACUGUCUCUACUAAAAACACAAAAUUAGCCUGGCGUGGUGGCACAUGGCUGUAAUUCCAGCUACUCUGGAGGCUGAGGCAGGAGAAUUGCUUGAACCUGGGAGGUGGAGGUUGCAGUGAGCUGAGACAGUG